rnacentral:rRNA from 1 species
CCGCAUGGGGAUAUUUGCUAAAGAUUCAUCGCUGAUAGAUAGGCAUGCGUUCCAUUAGGCAGUUGGCGGGGUAACGGCCCACCAAACCGACGAUGGAUAGGGGUUCUGAGAGGAAGGUCCCCCACAUUGGUACUGAGACACGGACCAGACUCCUACGGGAGGCAGCAGUGAGGAAUAUUGGUCAAUGGGCGUAAGCCUGAACCAGCCAAGUCGCGUGAGGGAUGAAGGUUCUAUGGAUCGUAAACCUCUUUUAUAAGGGAAUAAAGUGUGGGACGUGUCCUAUUUUGUAUGUACCUUAUGAAUAAGGAUCGGCUAACUCCGUGCCAGCAGCCGCGGUAAUACGGAGGAUCCGAGCGUUAUCCGGAUUUAUUGGGUUUAAAGGGUGCGUAGGCGGCCUUUUAAGUCAGCGGUGAAAGUCUGUGGCUCAACCAUAGAAUUGCCGUUGAAACUGGGGGGCUUGAGUAUGUUUGAGGCAGGCGGAAUGCGUGGUGUAGCGGUGAAAUGCUUAGAUAUCACGCAGAACCCCGAUUGCGAAGGCAGCCUGCCAAGCCAUGACUGACGCUGAUGCACGAAAGCGUGGGGAUCAAACAGGAUUAGAUACCCUGGUAGUCCACGCAGUAAACGAUGAUCACUAGCUGUUUGCGAUACAGUGUAAGCGGCACAG